AUUGAACGCUGGCGGCAUGCCUUACACAUGCAGGUCGAACGGUAACAGGUUAAGCUGACGAGUGGCGAACGGGUGAGUAAUACAUCGGAACGUGCCCAGACGUGGGGGAUAGCUCGGCGAAAGCCGGAUUAAUACCGCAUGUGAUCUGAGGAUGAAAGCGGGGGACCGUAAGGCCUCGCGCGUUUGGAGCGGCCGAUGGCAGAUUAGGUAGUUGGUGGGGUAAAGGCUUACCAAGCCUACGAUCUGUAGCUGGUCUGAGAGGACGACCAGCCACACUGGGAAUGAGACACGGCCCAGACUCCUACGGGAGGCAGCAGUGGGGAAUUUUGGACAAUGGGCGAAAGCCUGAUCCAGCAAUGCCGCGUGCAGGAUGAAGGCCUUCGGGUUGUGAACUGCUUUUGUACGGAACGAAAAGGCGCCUACUAAUACUGGGUGUUGAUGACGGUACCGUAAGAAUAAGCACCGGCUAACUACGUGCCAGCCGCCGCAGUAAUAC
rnacentral:rRNA from 1 species